UUGAAAUUUUUUCGCUCCGCCAACCCCUCGGAAGUGGAAUAUCAACGUGAGUUUGAAGUGAAAACCAAAUUCCUUGUGAAAUUCCUAGUUUGGCUACGGCCUGGCAGUUUUGGCAACAUUUUGCCAGCUUAUAUUUGAAAAGGUACCAUAAAUACAAAAGUUAACAAAAACGAGUUUUUGAAUCGGUCACAGCUCUGGAUAAGGAAACUUCAUAAUCGGAAUGAAAUUUGAUUUUUUCCGGACCUCUAACCACCUAUUACGGCAAAAUUUGAACCGCGUACUUCGGGGCUCAAGGAGUCGAUUUUGUGCUUUAAAAAGAUUACCCCUCAAAUGUCCCUCAGUUGUAACCAAUCGAAAAGUUUUAUGCCUUUUGCAAAACAACAUACUCUAACCUAAACUCCAAUGCAGAAAAGCUGGAAGAAUUCAAACGCUAACGGCGAAAAAUCAGCCAGAUCAUUUGGAAAGCGAGUGAAAAUCGCAAAUUUGAGGGUUGUUUCGGAAAUUCGGAUUGGUGGCUAGGAAUGGAUUAAGAAAAAUCCUCCGGUACAAAAACUGGUUGGUCAUGGAUCAUUGUCUAACCUACCCUGGGACACGGUAUAAGUACAGGAUUUCCGGGUCAGAAAGGUUUCCCAAAAAAUAUACGUUAGAAUUGAUAAAUACGUAAUGGGCACAUUGGGUUCAAUACAAGUAAUUCUAAAAAAACCAACUAAACAUCUACCGGCGAUGCGGAAGUUCGGAAAUGAAUCUACAAGACAAAAUUUUGCAUGAACAUUUGUUUGCGGUAGCGUUGGUUACGAUGCAUUGGAAAAAAUUUGGUGUUGGUUUACGCGGUUUGGAUUAACAUCUACACAAUUUUGUGUACAAUCGUAGUUAGUAAUUAAUACCCCAACUACACUCCUGACAAAUUGAGUACACUUUUAAGUAGUAAAAUUGUGUUGAAUCAUCAUGACCCUGAGCAAUGCGGGCUUUACCUGAUAGAAUUGAAGUAUUUAUGCGCACAUACCGUUGUGGCAAUGAAAAUUUACCACUUGGAAACAAACUGUCAUCAGGGAGGAAGCUAUGCCUAAAUCUAUACCAGCACAGAGUAUGUAUCUGACUUGAUAACAUUUUUAA